CGUACCCCAAACCGACACAGGUGGUCAGGUAGAGAAUACCAAGGCGCUUGAGAGAACUCGGGUGAAGGAACUAGGCAAAAUGGUGCCGUAACUUCGGGAGAAGGCACGCUGAUAUGUAGGUGAAGUCCCUCGCGGAUGGAGCUGAAAUCAGUCGAAGAUACCAGCUGGCUGCAACUGUUUAUUAAAAACACAGCACUGUGCAAACACGAAAGUGGACGUAUACGGUGUGACGCCUGCCCGGUGCCGGAAGGUUAAUUGAUGGG
rnacentral:rRNA from 1 species